CCUACCGGGAGCAGCAGUAGGGAUCUGCGCAUGGGCGAAAGCCUGACGCAGCGACGCGCGUGCGGGACGAAGGCCCUCGGGUUGUAAACCGCUUUCAGCAGGGACGAAGCGAAAGUGACGGUACCUGCAGAAGAAGGUCCGGCCAACUACGUGCCAGCAGCCGCGGUAAUACGUAGGGACCGAGCGUUGUCCGGAUUCAUUGGGCGUAAAGAGCUCGUAGGCGGCCACUCAAGUCGAAUGUGAAACCUCGAGGCUCAACCUCGAGCGUGCAUUCGAUACUGGGCGGCUAGAGUCUGGUAGGGGGAUCUGGAAUUCCUGGUGUAGCGGUGGAAUGCGCAGAUAUCAGGAGGAACACCGGUGGCGAAGGCGGGAUCCUGGGCCAGUACUGACGCUGAGGAGCGAAAGCGUGGGGAGCAAACAGGAUUAGAUACCCUGGUAGUCCACGCCGUAAACGAUGGGCGCUAGGUGUGGGAGGUCAUCGACUCCUUCCGUGCCGCAGCUAACGCAUUAAGCGCCCCGCCUGGGGAGUACGGCCGCAAGGCUAAAACUCAAAGGAAUUGACGGGGGCCCGCACAAGCGGCGGAGCAUGUUGCUUAAUUCGACGCGACGCGAAGAACCUUACCAGGGCUUGACAUGUAGGGAAAAGCCGUGGAGACACGGUGUCCGCAAGGGCCCUACACAGGUGUUGCAUGGCUGUCGUCAGCUCGUGUCGUGAGAUGUUGGGUUAAGUCCCGCAACGAGCGCAACCCUUGUCCUAUGUUGCCAGCGGUUCAAGCCGGGGACUCAUAGGAGACUGCCGGGGUCAACUCGGAGGAAGGUGGGGACGACGUCAAGUCAUCAUGGCCCUUAUGUCCUGGGCUGCAAACAUGCUACAAUGGCCGGUACAGAGGGCUGCAAACCCGCGAGGGGGAGCCAAUCCCAAAAAGCCGGUCUCAGUUCGGAUCGGGGUCUGCAACUCGACCCCGUGAAGUCGGAGUCGCUAGUAAUCGCGAAUCAGCAACGUCGCGGUGAAUACGUUCCCGGG
rnacentral:rRNA from 1 species